rnacentral:RNase_P_RNA from 2 species
AGAGAGAGGUAGAGGGCCGCAGGGUGCUUCGCACGGAGCAUCUUGAGGAAAGUCCGGGCUCCAUAGGGCAAGCUGCUCGGUGAAGAACCGAGAGGGAGCGAUCCCUGGGUUAGGCCACAGAGACCAGACCGCCGAUGGCGCUUCGCGCAUUUCAGCGAAGCGCACAGGCAAGGGUGAAAGGGUGGGGUAAGAGCCCACCGCCAGUCCGGGCGACCGGGCUGAGGCUGGUAGACCCCCGGCUGGAGCAAGGCCAAGUAAGCAGGCGCUAAAGGGUAGCCCGCCCGAUGCCUGUGGGUAGGCCGCUAAGAUGGAUGGCCCUCGUCCCUCAGGGGAACAGAACCCGGCUUAUUCCUCUCUCCCUUU